UACGAAGGGGGCUAGCGUUGCUCGGAAUUACUGGGCGUAAAGGGCGCAUAGGCGGCCUGCUAAGUCGGACGUGAAAUCCCUCGGCUCAACCCCGGGACUGCGUCCGAUACUUCCGAGCUGGAGGUAGGUAGGGGAGAUCGGAAUUCCUGGUGUAGCGGUGAAAUGCGCAGAUAUCAGGAGGAACACCAGUGGCGAAGGCGGCACUCUGGGCCGGUACUGACGCUGAUGAGCGAAAGCGUGGGGAGCGAACAGG
rnacentral:rRNA from 1 species